UUCUCUGAGAGAGAAGCAGAGAGCUGGGGGUGGGCGUGUUCACAAGCCUGCAGGGCUCCGGUCAGCUGCACUUGGGGUCACCCCCCCCCCACGUGUUCACCUGUGGACCCCCACGCUCCCUCACCUGCCAGCCGGUUCCUGAGGUAGGUCAGGCGGAUCUUCUCGGUGCCAUACAGGAAGAGGGAGCCCUCUGGGUUCAGGGGCCGCACCUGAGGCAGUAGGUGCCAGGGUCAGGCCGUGCCCCCAGCCCCACCACGUGCAGCCCCAGGGGUCUGGGCAGGCCUUCACCUUCUUGAGCGGCACCGUCUGGACCCAUUCUGCUCUCCUCACGUCAAACACGUCAAUGGCGUUCUCACUGAACACUGUCAGGGGAAGACCCCUGUGCCCUGUCACAGCACUGGGACUUCCAAGCCCCACGGCAAAGGUCCUUCCCUGAAGACGCAGGCUGCCCCGCCCUCUCCCUAAGGAGUGAGGUAACCAGGGAGCUCUCCCUACACGCCCCCAGCCCCCACGGCGCCCUUAAGUCUCCCAACAACUCCCAGCAGGUACCACAUCACCCCCAACCUACAGAGGGACUGGAAACCCCAGAGGCAUGUAAUGGCCAAGGUCACCGGGCUGAAGAGGAGAGCUGGGAUUUGGCCCCAGGCAGUUUGGGCCUAACACCUACAAUGCUGAAUACCUGUGCUACACCCAACCUAGGUCCCACCCCAGAAGGGCCUUUGCUCGUGAUGGAAGCUCUGUCCCUCUAAUCUAGCCCUUAUCCUGUCACUCCAUGGAUGCCCCAGACCACCUCAGUGCACGUUGCUCCUGACAUCCAUAGCCCCUAGGGUGUGCUUGCCUGGGCUGGGUGCUGGAUGUGGAGGAAGAAACCAGUCCCAACCUAUUCUGCAGGCUCCCAGUGCACCAAACCAGUUGUGAAGUAGGAGAAAGGAGCCCAGAAAAGAGGUGGGGGAGCAAAGAGAAGCCAAGGACAGUGACAGGAGAGGGCACGACAAGGAGCCAGAAGGCAAUAAUGAUGAUGACAGCAGUCAUGGAGUGCCUGUUAGCUCCAGGUCCUGAGGUGCCAUUAGGGCUUAAGAGCUGACCAGGAGCUGGGUGCAGUGGUGCAUGCCUAUAAUCCCAGCAAAUUGGAGGUUGAGGCAGGAGGAUAUAGAGUUCAAAACCAGCCUCAGCAACGGCGAGUUGCUAAGCAGCUCAGUGAGACCGUGUCUCUAAAUAAAAUACAAAAUAGGGCUGGGAUGUGGCUCAGUGGUUAAGGGGCCCUGAGUUCAAUCCUCAGUACCAAACAAACAAAACAGUUGGCCAUGGCUGGGCACUGUGGCUCACACCCCUAAUCCUAGUAUUUUGGGAGUUUGAGGCAGGAGGAUCAAGAGUUCAAAGCCAGCUUCAGCAACAGGAAGGCACUAAGCAGCUCAGUGAAACCCUGUCUCUAAAUAAAAUACAAAAAAGGACUGGAGAUGUAGCCCAGUGGUUGAGUGCCCUUGAGUUCAAUCCCUGGUACUCCCUCCCUCCCCCGCCAAAAAAAGAGUUAGCCAGGUACAAGUGGAAGGAGGGCAGCACAGCACAGGGAGGGGAAAAGGAGAAACAAAGGAACAGAAGAGGAAAAUCCCAGGUACAACACCCAGGCAGAACAGGACAUGGCAGGCUCUGGCUGCAGUGCCAAGCUCAGGAGGUUGGGCAGAACCCUGUCUUCCUCAAUACAGUGCAGUGCCCAGCCCCAUCCAGCCAGGCCCUCCACUGGCCUUACCCCAGCCUGUGGGUGCUGCUGGCCACAGUAACUCGUGACUGCGUGACUUGCGGCCAGUGCCAUCCACGUAGACUCCAGCAGUGGUGAAGAGCAGCAAGAGCUCAUUAAGGCUGAGCUCCACAGCACCCAGGGCCUCACCUAGGCCUCCACGGGAUGGUGGCAGCUCCUCUGGCACCAAGCCGGCCCCCAGCACCAAGGGUGCAGCCUCGUUGAGCAGUGGGUAGAGGGCGAAGGUGCCAGCAGCACCCACACACAGCCGAUCACCCAGUAGCCCCAGGCUCUGUACAGAUGCAGGUGCCUGAAGCUCCCGGAUGCGAUGCUGCCAGGGCCCUGGUCCCGGGCCCAGCUGGUAGCAGAGCACCUGGCGCUUGAUAGCUACACAGAGUACGGGAGUGCGGGCCUGCAGGAUGCGCCCGGCUGUCAGCACCUGGCAGCCUCGGGACUCGGGGAUCUUGGCACCUGUUGCAUCAGUGCUUUCCAGCUCCGCGAGGGCAAAGAGACGCACGCUAGGGCCACGGCCGCACAGCACAACCAGCAGGCCUGCAGAGGGGCUGACAGCCAGCUGCUGCACCCGGCGGCACUCCCCCACCUGGAAGAUGUCUGGGGAGUGGGGAAAAAAGCAGGUAACUUGCAUGGCUCCAGCUGGCUCAGGACCUCGGCUGCUGGGGAAGCCAAAGAUCUCUGCUUCACUCCUGCUGAGGCCAGGCUCCCAGCUGAACCCAAGUGAAUCUGCGGCAGCUCCACACUGGAGACAUUGCGAGGCUUCAGGUGGUUCUGUGGCUCUUCCAUGGUAUGGUCACCCAUCAGCUGGCAGGACAACCAGGACUGGGACCCUCGUUUAUCUUUUUUUCCCCCAGUAGUGGGGAUGGAAGCCAGUGGUGCUGUCCUACUGAGCUACAUCCCAGUCAUUUUUAUUUUAAGACACAAUCUUGCUAAGUUGCCCAGGCUGGCUUUGAACUUGUGAUUUUUUUUUUUUUUGCAGGGGGUGGGGGGGAUACUGUACUGGGUAUUGAACCCAGGAGUAUUUUACUACUGAGCUAUAUGACCAGCCUUUAAAAUUUUUUUUUUAAAUAUAGUCUUGCUAAGUUCCUGAGGAUCUUGCUAAAUUGCUGAGAUUGGCCUUGAAUUCGAGAUCCUCCUGAGUCACUGUGAUUACAGGAGUGCACCACCAUUCCUGGCUCAUUUGUCAAUUUCUAAAGCCUUUGCUCCUCCAA